UCCUCGAUAGCUCAAUCGGUAGAGCGUGCGGCUGUUAACCGCAAGGUUGUAGGUUCGAGUCCUACUCGGGGAGCCA
rnacentral:tRNA from 1 species